rnacentral:misc_RNA from 1 species
AACACCUCAAAUCUCUUGUUUCUUGUGAAUAAGAGAAUUGGACUUGAGCAAUCCCAACUCUUGCAAAAGAGGCGGGUUGCUUGAAAUGCAGGUGCAGCUGGACAUUCUUCUGAGCUAAAAGCAUAUUUAUUUAGUCCCGUAAAACGGAUUAUUACUUUUGCUGCAGCUAACAUAAAGGUUGAAUGGCCAAUAUGGCUGACUGAUGCAGGAUUAACAGAGAAUUUAUUCUUUGUAA